AGGAGCCGAAUGACAUGAAAUUCUCAUGUUCGGUUCUGAAUUAGAGGCAUUGAAUAAUCAAUGUCAACUAUAACCCCUAGCCUUCCAAGCUAACGAUGCGAGUUCGAUUCCCACUACUCGCUAACAGGUAUCUACCUAUUAUCUAUCUAUAUAGAUAGAAUAGGUAGAUGUAAAGUGAUUCUCUAUCUAUCUAUAU
rnacentral:ncRNA from 1 species